AGCGAACGCUGGCGGCAGGCCUAACACAUGCAAGUCGAACGAACUCUUCGGAGUUAGUGGCGGACGGGUGAGUAACACGUGGGAACGUGCCUUUAGGUUCGGAAUAACUCAGGGAAACUUGUGCUAAUACCGAAUGUGCUCUUCGGGGGAAAGAUUUAUCGCCUUUGGAGCGGCCCGCGUCUGCUUAGCUUGUUGGGGAGGUAAAGGCUCACCACGGCGACGAUCAGUAGCUGGUCUGAGAGGAUGAUCAGCCACAUUGGGCCUGAGACACGGCCCAAACUCUUGCGGGAGGCAGCAGUGGGGGAUCUUGCGCAAUGGGCGAAAGCCUGACGCAGCCAUGACGCGUGAAUGAUGAAGGUCUUAGGAUUGUAAAAUUCUUUCACCGGGGACGAUAAUGACGGUACCCGGAGAAGAAGCCCCGGCUAACUUCGUG
rnacentral:rRNA from 1 species